UUAGCAAUCAUCAUUAUUUUAUUAUGUUGUGAGAAAGAUGGAAAAUGCUACUAAAGUUUUGUUGAGAAUUAUUAAACAUGUUCCUGCUUUUUGUUCUCAGAAUUCUCUAAUCCAAUAAAAUGUUCUAUUGAGCUUUUUAUCUUAAUUGAAUUUUCCAUUUUUUUCCUAAUACAUAGCCAGUAAUUUAAAACAAAUUAAGUAAUUUCCCAGAGCUUAGUAGAAUUAGGUUGAAUCAAAGGGAACUAUCACCAUAUUUCUUUAGUGAAUAUAUUCAAGAAGCUUUGUUUGCCAAGUUUGAUUUAACUGGAGUGAUUAAUAGUACCAGCAAAGCCCGUAUUUCUGUCUUCCCAAUGCGAAAUUUUAGUUUACCUACAUUUUCCACGCACUAGUGUCACAACAAAAUACUAAGUCAUAAUUGCCUCUUUCCCUUAUAGUUAGAAUUCUGUCAUUAAAAAUAAUAAUCCUGGUUUAUCUAAAAGCAUGGCAUUUUUUUUUGUCUGGUUACAAACAUAAUGUUACCUGCUUUAAAAGUGUGUACUGCAGGAUAGCUUAGAGAGUUUUCC
rnacentral:lncRNA from 1 species